rnacentral:rRNA from 1 species
ACUCCUACGGGAGGCAGCAGUAAGGAAUAUUGCGCAAUGGACGAAAGUCUGACGCAGCGACGCCGCGUGGGGGAUGAAGGUCUUCGGAUUGUAAACCCCUUUCGGCAGGGAAGAUGGAACGGGUAACCGUUCGGACGGUACCUGCAGAAGCAGCCACGGCUAACUUCGUGCCAGCAGCCGCGGUAAUACGAAGGUGGCAAGCGUUGUUCGGAUUUACUGGGCGUACAGGGAGCGUAGGCGGUUGGGUAAGCCCUCCGUGAAAUCUCCGGGCCUAACCCGGAAAGUGCGGAGGGGACUGCUCGGCUAGAGGAUGGGAGAGGAGCGCGGAAUUCCCG